AACGAAGUACCUGAAACGCAAAACUCUUAUCUCCUUUAAAGGAACAGUUCUAAACGCAUCGUAUUAUUAGUGGUAUAGUGUUCAGCUAUUGGGUUAGCGGUGAUGGCCUACAGUGAACGGCCUAGCCCCCAACGGCGACCCCCGGGCGCCGACAACAACCGCUACACUCGCGUUGCAAACCUGUUCCAAAAAUCGAUUUAUUUAGAGUUAUGGCAGGACAAAUCUGCAUCGAUUCUGUACCCAUUUACGAUUCGGUCGGUAAACAAUAACAGAAAGGAACUUGAUUGAUUAGACAUGCCCCAACGAGAACCGCCGAAAUAGCACAAAAGGAACCAAUGGAAAGAUAUUCUUGAGUUUUUUUUUCCAUUCGAUAUUAACAGUAGUACUUUUCGAUUAUGUAUAGUUGAGGCAAACACUAGUAAUUUAGAUAAAGUUUAACCAUCUAGAUAUCGAGUUGUUGGAACUUGUAGAGGUUGUGAAUAGUUCGAAAGACCCAAACACAGUGACCUAUAUCAACAUGUUUGAAAUACAUAGAAAAACUACUAAAAGUGUAGUACACAAUCCACUGGCGAUUCUCUCUCCCUCUGUAUGUAUAUAUAUAUAUAUAUAUGACAGAAAUAAAAUUUUUCCUAAUCAUUCAUGAAAUUGUCAUACCCACAGAAUAUCUGUUAGGUAGGGAGCUGAACAACGAGCCCAAAUUUACCACGUUCUACUGUUUAAGAAUUGGCCAGAUGACCAGCGAGCAGGGUCCGUGACAUGUAAUAUAUACGAAAAAGCCCACACGUUUAUACGUAACGCAUACUGUACAGGUUAAACAUCCCAUAGUGACGAUAUACAUACGAAUACACCCAUCAGCGUAGUUUUUUUUUUUUUACCUGGUCAAAAUAAAGCGCGAUAAUAAAGCCACCGAUUUUCUCCAAGGUAACCCCAACCGCUAGAAUUAGUCAAAACCAACUGAUAUUGGUUAGGCGAUAUAGCAACAGAGCCUGCCAAGAAUCACAAUAAAAGAAACGCCACUUGUACCAAAAAUAUGGUUAUUCUUUCCAGCCACUAUAAAAACGACGAUAGUAAGCAUCAUCAUUGAUCUGUUCGUCGUAUUCCUUUAUUUCGUUGGUGAUUUGCAUCAAGUUGCAGCCGAAGCCAAUUCCUAUUCUCUCCGGCCACAGCUGCUGUUGCUACCGUCGACGAUGACGCCACACGUUAACAAUCUCAAUAGAUUCACUCAAGCCUGUUCUAUCAGGUAAAAAUGGCAAUUCCUUCGCUCGUCAACCACUCGAAGAGUAGUUGUUUCCAGCUUUUUUUCUUUCUCGCUCACGAUUUCUAUCUAUAAAUAUCUCUAUUCUGUGUGCUCUUUUUCGGAUUUACAUAAUUCGUCCGUGUUCGUUGCGACCCGUCUCCCGUUGUUCGAGCUCGCUCGCCUUCUUCUCUGUUCCUUAUAUUCUGCUGUUCGCUCCCUCGCUUCGGGUCUUUCCUUUUGCCAUCUUCUUCGUCUCCCCUUUUUACCUCCUUCUUCGAGUUCUUCCUUGGGUCACCAUUUACCUCUCUUCUCAACUCUCUUGCCUUUUUUUUUUUGCUUUCCGCUUGCCUCUCCUUUUGCCCCCUCCUUGCCCGCCGCUAUUGUCUCCUCGUUUGUUUCGUUCAUUGACCCCUUCCUGCCUUUUUGGUCGACCCUCCGUAACCAUCCACUAAAUUUGUGGAGAUAAAGUUUUCUCAUAUGAUGAAAAUUGCCUAUAUAUCCGACACCUUAUCGUAUGUUUGCUCGUAUUCUUGCUCGCGCGCGCGCAUGAUAUAAAGCGUUUGAUGCACGUUCAAUAUGCGCCGCAGUAACUUUUACUAUUACGUUAUAGAAUGUGCUGAAUAAAGCAACGAAAGGGGACGCUACCGGCUUCCCGUGUCAGACAAUAAACCCAAUGGACUAUCAAUACGAGAAUGUCUCACUCAGCGGAUUCGACUUGUAGAUGCACUUACCCUCAUUUACAUCUGUCCACUUCCGUCUAUGUAGAGUGUCGCUGCCCCUUUCCGACUCUCGCACAGAGUCGGUGUACUCGAUUGACGCGGACGAAGUUGCACCUUAUGCUGUUGGAGCAGGCUGACUAGAACCGUUCGGACUGCGGCUAGCAUUAGAAGUCUUCCUAGGCCGCUAUUACUGGCGCUGUUUUUAUUCUAUAGGCCGACAUGACACGGCGCCGGUACGCCGUUUCAGCAGUGUCGAUACGUCAAUGGCGUUCCACUUCAUUCCGACGUCAGCAUACUUAACAUACUUACACCCCAGCAUAUUCAACUAUUAGACCAUUCAGCGAUUCGCUUUGAACGAACAUAUACUUCGAUCCGAGAGACUUCGGCACGAAGGCAGAGCGGCUUUGCCAGUGCCUAUCUUGUCAACAGCAUGUGCCUUUCCGCUUCACUUGCCGGCAGCUGCAUAGUAGCUAUUCUUCGACGUGGGCCAUUUCGCUUUGUUGAUCGGUUUCGUUACGACUAUAAACAACAGUGGUAACAGCCGGAGGCGUAGCGGUAACAUGACUUCAACGGAUCUGACACCAGAACAGCUGCUGUAUCCGAGGGAAUUAGUACGUUCCAAUCGACCGAUCAUCACACCAGUCUGGUCUUAGAUUCCAGCUGCUGCUACUGGAGACUGCAGCGUAAUUGAACGCGCAUCGGUGUAGCUUAUUUGGCCGAUGCAGUGCCAUCAUGAGCAUUUUCAUACGUUGCAAUAGAUUGUUAUCUAUUCGUAUAUAACGUAUAGAACAAAACAGAGAGAGAGUAAAAAUGGCGUGUGAACUAUCUGUGAUCGUGGAACGUCCGCUAGCGAACAGGCGACCAUUCCUGUCACUGCUACAUACAUAACGUGCACAAUAUAAUGGCCAAAACGAUCAUCGCGUAGAGAAACGCUCGCUGCGCCUAGAACGAAAUAGCCCACUCGGUUUUACGUUUGCGGAGAUAGAAACAUAAAACAACUGUGCCCGGGCAUCGGGCCAAUGAUCGCCGCCACAUGGGCAGUUGGAAUCACCAAAUCGUUUAUCAAUCAAAUUCAGACAUUUUAUAGCAAAAAAAAUUAUAUAUGUAUGUAGAACCUUUUCUAGUUCAUACGAAAUAAGAUCUGCAGGCUCACAGCCUUAUACUAAUUUAGUUAUUCUCUGGUUAAAGUCGGGAGCGUACUUGGUAAGCAAUUAACAAAGAUACAGGAAGACCGCAUAAUGCGCCGGAAGAUUUGCCUUUCUAUAUAAUACCACACGCUGUUUCGUGCACAUGUUUAGUCGCACCGAUAUGGAUUUUCGUUUGAUUUUUUCAGCGUCUGUAGCUAUUUAGGCAUUACAUUGGAUUGUGGCUCUCCUUUGUAUAUUGAGGUUGGCAGUUGACGCAUAAGUCCGUCAUAAUGAUGUACUGAUUAGACGAGAAAGAACAUGGGGGGUAUGACAGAUUGCAGUGCAGAGGCGAUAUUCCUAUAGAUGUUUGUGCGUCGCUCAUAUGAAGUGACCGAACAUUGUUUCGGAAUAGCAAAUAAGGCCUUAUGAAGAUAAAUAUCGUUUUGUAUAGCCAACCAAAAAAAAAAAAUGGAAGACUCCGUUCUGAAGAGCAUGGAUAAAGCAAGCAACUAAUGUAUUCGAAAUCAAUUAGCGAGUAUCAGAUUGGUUCCUUCUGAUCCUAAUCCUUUCAUAGCUGAAAGCAACUUAAAGCACAUUUGUUUAAGUUCGCAAGAACACGUACUGUAAUGUAAAAAUCAAGUAUCGAAAAUUUCUCACAUAGAACUGACUCCGCAUUAUCCAUUUUUAAAAACUAGAUUUAUCCGCCCAAUAGAAAACCAGUCUUAUUUCGGGCCAACCGGGAUCGAUUUAAAUGCUAAAAGAAGAGUUUAACAACAAAACAUUUGCUGCUGCCGCCACCGCGGCCGCAUCGCCUGCCAACCGACUCUGGAAAAUGAGUUCGUUUCCUCCAUUUACUAACUGUGCCAGAGAGGCACAGUACGACAUGCGUAUGGAUGAUGCACAAAUUAGCACGCGUGGCAGCAGUACGGA
rnacentral:lncRNA from 1 species